UACGAAGGGAGCUAGCGUUGUUCGGAAUCACUGGGCGUAAAGCGCACGUAGGCGGAUGUGUCAGUCAGGGGUGAAAUCCCGGGGCUCAACCCCGGAACUGCCCUUGAAACUGCAGUGCUAGAAUCUUGGAGAGGCGAGUGGAAUUCCGAGUGUAGAGGUGAAAUUCGUAGAUAUUCGGAAGAACACCAGUGGCGAAGGCGACUCGCUGGACAAGUAUUGACGCUGAGGUGCGAAAGCGUGGGGAGCAAACAGG
rnacentral:rRNA from 1 species